rnacentral:lncRNA from 1 species
AAAAUAAAACUCCUUUAUAAGAGUUAACUUUUUGCAAGAGAAAAGGGGACUACUUUGUGCAUUGUUUCAUUUAUUUUUUUAAUAAUAUUUUUAGAAUUCAUCACAAGUUAUAAGUGGCUAAUUUUAUUUUCUAGCUACUGGUAGAUAAAAGCUCGAUUUUGUUAAAAAUCAUUCUGAGAUUCAGAGUGUUCUCCAUUCUUCUCUUACCCAUUACCAGUUUCUUCUUCUCUAUUUUAUGGGACAUGUAGUAUCAUCUCUUAUUAUUCUUAUCAGUAUCAUUUCAACUAAGAUUAUUUGUUUAGAUUUAGGCUAUUAAACAGUUAAUUAGAGUAAUUAGAUCCAAAAUUGUCUCUUUGUUCUAAUACUUAGAAAAAGUUAGCAUAGUUUGUUUGAGAGAGCUUAUGUUAAGGAAUGAAUGAUCUAAUUUAAAUGAUAUGUGCAAUUAAGUUGGUUAGUUAGAGUCGGGUCUUUUCUAAUCCAUAAGGUUGUUGGUGAAUUAAAUCUUAGGAGAACCUUUUAUACUUUUUUAACUAGUAAGGAUUAGUUGUUGAGUUGUUUUAACAAUUAAUUACAAACUAAGGAAAGAUUUGUGGUUUAAAGUUGUUAUUCGAUUGCUUUAACCUACUUAUCAUUGAAUAAGGAAACAUCUAUAAUCUGUGAUCAAUUUGAGAAUAAAGGUGACAAUGCACCUGAGGUUGAAAAUCUCAACAUAUCAGUUUAUUUUUUAUUAGUUUGAAUUAGUGUUUUUUUACCCUAGUGGUGUUUUUAGAAUGCCAUCUCUAUGUGGCCAAGAAAGGAAUCAAACGUUACAAAGGAUCUACAUUGGAAGGUUUCUUAAUCAUGUCAUUUCUAACAUUACACUUAUCAAAACAUAACAGACUUACUACCAAAUUGAUAACAAUUUGGUCACGAAUUAUUAGAAUGUUACUUGGGGAUCAUAUCACCUCUAUAUCAUAAUUGGCAUGUAGACUUAAAGUCGAAUUGCGUGCUCAUUUUAGUCCUAGAAUCUACUAAACCUAAACUCUAAUAUCAGUAAAUGUAACACCUCUCACCCAUUCCAACAUAUAGUACGAAUAAGAGAUGUUAUCAGAACACAUACAUAACAAAAAAUCUCAAGAGUUAUUUAAAUUUUAAAAUUUAAAAGUAUUUUUAUAAAAUUAUUAAAUCACAUUUGAGAUUAUUUGGGGGGUUUUAGAAAAGAAUUAAAUCAUUUAGUAAAUGUUCAAAAGUGAUCGCUAGUGUUCAGGACCCAAAACGAGCUCCUAGAAGUUAGAAUAGCAUAAAAUAGUGCAAUGAGUCAAACUAGAGCAGAGGUAUAGGUAAAUCUAUACCUUAGAACCUCAAAGAAAAAUAAAAUAAAAUUCAAACAAACUUCAAAACAUCUCCAAUCUUCAAGAAAUCAUACUAGUAAGUUUUAAUUCAUUUUAAAACCAUAUAAAAACAAAUUCGAGCAUAAAUACAUCUUAGAAACAUGAUCAAAUCGAUUCAACACCAAAAGACUUGAUCUAUGAGUGUGAACAACAUCUCAAAUUCCGUGAAAACAUCUCAAAAAUUAAAAAGUACAAUUUCAAACUUAGGUCUUUAUGUACAUGCUAAGAUUAAUAUACAAUGACUAUUGUGACCUAAUACCCUUAGUGUAGAGAUUUCGUCAAUAUGUACUUAUAAUUUUUCUAACAAAUUGGUUUAAUAAAAUAUUCAUCAGUAUCAUUAAUAUCUUCGUAUAUUGUCCUCAAUGGUUUUUACAUGCAAAGAAAAAUGAAACCAAAUAUUGGUUCACUGAUUAUCUAACAUUUAACUAAUAUUAAGCAGUAUUACGAGGUCGAACCAUAAAAUGGAAAGACAACUUAUAUUAGUAAAUAAUCUAAGCACAUACUUACUCUAAUUGAAAAUGAGCAAAUCAAUUAAAAGACUAAUAUGUAAUCUAUCAAGUCUAAUUGGGGAGAAUCUUAUCUUGGGUAUCGGAGCGAAUGACUCCAAAAAGAUAGAGACAUUGUUAUUUUUUGAAAUAACAAAUUAAAAUAUUUUUGGAUAAAGGUUAAAAUUGAACAAAAUUGGCAAAUUGAUAUUUCAAAUGAAGUCUAAGAGAUAAAAUUUUGAACCUAUUACUUUGAACUCUUAGAAAAUUUUUGAAUCAACCUUUAAAUCAAGUUAAAAUGGUUUCAAUCAAGUUAGAAUUUCUUCAAUCAGUUAAACUAUUUUUAAAAAAAUACCUUUUUGGCCAAGUAUCUAUAGUUUCCAAAAUAUCGACACCCCUUCAAAAAUUGAUACCAAAUUGACAUUUUGUUUCCCAACCAAUUCAGCUAAGUAUUAAUCCAGUAUCGGUACUUUUCAUAUGGUAUCGAUAAAAGUCCACUGUUAUCAAUAUUUUUAGCUCCCACAAUCACUAAAUUUUUCAUUAAAUUCAAAACAUAUCGAUACAUUGUUAGAAAGUAUUGGUACUCGUAGUUACAAGUUAAUUAAAUGCACUAUUAUUUUAUCCCCAAUGGCUCUAUUCAUUUUUCCAACAACCACAACGGUUGGAAAUCAAUUAGGGGGUAUAAAUACUAGCUUCCAAAGGUCCUACAACAAUAUUAGACAUUAUCAGGCUUAACGGUCAAUAAAAAAUAACCUUGUGCUUACAAUUCUGAAUAAUUUUAUUUAAACACUCUUGUGAGCUUUCAUUGUUUUCAUUUAACUCAAGUGUUUCUCUUUGUAAUUGAGCUUAACUUGCAAACAUUCCGGUCUUGUAAGGGUUAUUUCUUUUUUUGCUUAUUUGUAUCUCUUUAAGAAGGUUUGUGUCUUAAGGUUUGGUUAGAAACCUUAAAGGAGUUUGUAAAGUUAGACCUUAUCAUUAAAGGUUGUCAAAUUAGUUAAUUUGGGAAAAUCUUUAGUGGUUGAAAGCUAAGGGAGUGGAGUAGGCAAUUUGGGUUGAACCACUCUAAAUUCUUAUGUUCAAUUUUUCAAUAAUUAUUCUCUAGCAUCCAAAAAAUUUUAGAAAGCCAAUUCAACCCCUCUUUGUAAUUUUGGUUUGAUUAUUUGAGCUAACAAUUAAUAUCAAAGUUAGCAUCUAUCCGACUGCUUCAUAACCAAGAGAAUAUACUUGAGGUAGCUCAAGUUUCAGCCAAUCAAUCCAAAAGAUAUGAUGUCUACAUCUGGUUCAGUUUUUCUUGAAGAAUCACAAUCUAUAUCUAAGCCUUCUUACUUCAACGGUACCAACUACUAUUAUUCGAAGACAAGAAUGAUGUUGUUCAUACAAGCAAAUGAUCUUACCAUAUGGGACAUCAUCAUGGACUGUAACACCCCUAACCCAUCCCCGUUGCCAAAUUAGGGUUAUAGAGUAUUACAACACAUAACAACUCUCAUUAUAUCAUAAAAAAUAAUGAAAUAUUAAUUUAAAUACUUUUUAUUGAUAACCAAUCAUCAUUCAUAACAUUCAUACAAAAAGAAGCUUUCAAUUGAGUGUACGGAACCUAAAAAUCAAUUUGGAAACAUUUAGGGACUAAUCUAAAACAAAAUAAAAAUAUAAAAAAAACUAGAAAUAGGGGUCACACGAUCAUGUGGCUCAGGGACAUGGUUGUGUGGGCAAAGCGUGUGCAAUUCAAAAUAGGGUCACACGGUUGUGUCGUCAAGUCAUGCGCUUUGAAAGAGGGUCACACAACCGUGCAGCCAGGCCGUGUAAUAACCUAUGAUAGUGUGGGAAAAACCUACACCAAAUUUCAAGAAUCACACGAUGGCAUAACGGCCCGUGUCAUUGGCUGUGUCUGCCUAAAAUUUCCUUCAAAAUCAAGCUAACUCACAUAAAAAUGCUUGGGUGCCAUAUUACAAUUUUACUUAAGUUUAAUCAUCCUUAACAAAUAAAUAAUGUCAUCAUCCAUUAACUAAUGUUAUAACAAUGUCCCAUUUCCUUAAUUGAACACUCAAACACUGAGAAAUUCUAUAAUAAUUCACUUUUGUUAAGUUUAUGAUUUAACCCUUUUUCCUUAAUUAAUUAUCUAAAUAUCAAAAUUACUGAACAAAAUUUUAAUAUGGCACUCAUAUAACUUCAUAGAUAUAAAAUAAAUAAUAUUUUCUAACUCACACAUUGGAAUUGUGGCCCCGAAAUCACUAUUUUCAACACCACUAAAAAAUGGGUUGUUACAUGGAUGGUCACUCCAUACCUCUCAAGCAAGAAGAAGAGCUCCUUAUUCCAAAAAGAAAGAAAUAGUGGAAUAAGGAAGAUAGAAGAAGUAUUCAGUUGAAUGCCAAGGCUAUGUACACCUUAUUUUGUACACUUGGACCAGAAGGAUAUAGUAGAGUAUCAUAUUGUUUUAAUGCCAAGGAGAUAUGGGAUAAGAUUGAAGUCACACAUGAAUGUACCAACCAAGUAAAAAAGUCUAAGGUUGGAAUUCUUACUCUAAAUUAUGAAACCUUCAAAAUGAAGCUUGAGGAAGAUAUCAAGGCGAUGUUUGAUCGAUUUACUAUAAUCAUCAAUGGAUUAAAGUCUUAUGGGAAAAAAAUUCAAAUGCAGAGGUGGUAAGGAAAAUGCUUUGAAGCUUGCUUAAAUCAUGGGAAUCCAAUGUGACUCCAAUUCAAGAAGCAAAUAAUUUAGAAAAGUUGACUUUGGAUGAACUCAUCGAUUUUUUGCUUACACAUGAAAUGAGGCUCAAUGAAGGGGUUGAAACAAACUAAAAUUGAGAAGAAAAAGGUUGGUGUCGCUCUUAAAUCCACCACAAAUGAAGAUAGUGAAUCAAGUGAAUAGAUGGAUGAAGACAAAGGGACGUUCAUGCUUGCUAGGAGAUUCAAGAGAUUCAUGAAGUUUAAUAAAGGAAGAAGAUUCCAAAAGGGGAGAUUGAAGUUUGAAUCUACGAAGGAGAAAGAUCUCAUUAUUUUUUAUGAGUGCAUGAAACUAGGACAUAUCAAGUUUGAUUAUCCUCAAUGGAAGAAGAAGGGAUCAAAGAAAACAAAAGCUUAAGACAAAUGUGGCUACAUGGAGUGAUGACGAUUCCUCCAAUGAAGAAGAUCAAGAAGUAGCCAACCUAUGCCUUAUGACCAUUGAUGACUCUAAGGUAACUUCUAACUCGUCUAAUUCAAUUUUUUAUUCACUUGAUGAGUUACAAAAUGCAAAUGAUUAGUUGGGUUUAGAGUUUGAAAUUAUGGUUUCAAAAUAUAAGAAAAAUAUUUCAAAUUUAAAAGAUAAAAAUAGUUCAUUUUCCAAAGCCAAUAAUGAAAUUGAAAGUAAAAUUCAUGAUAUGCAGAUUAUUAUAAAUGAUUUUGAAGAAAAAAAAAACCAAGACUUGCAUAAUUUUUUUUAGAAGUUCAUGAUCAUCAUCAAAAGCAAUUUGAGUUUAUUGAAUAAGAAAAAGUUUUACCUAAAAAAUUAUCUCUAAAAAGUUUUAAAAAGGGAGAAAGCUCAAAAUCAAGCUUUGUUGGAACAAGCUUUAAUUUCUAUAAACAUAAAGGUUCCUCAAGAUUUUAUAAAGGAAAAAUUGUUAAAAGUAUAUGGGUCCCUAAAGGACUUUGUGUUACUCAAGACAAAGAGAUUAUUUCAAAAUUAGGAACUAAUAUUUAUGGACCCAAAAGAAUUUGGGUACAAGAAAUAAAAAUUUAAUUCUAUAUUUGUAGGGAAAUAAGCAUUACUUCAAGGUGAAUAACACAAGUAUAAACUUAUGGUACCUUGAAAGUAGAUGCUCAAGACAUAUGACUAGUGACAAGAGUCAUUUUAACAAAUUGAACCCAAAAGGUAAAGAAGAAGUUACAUUUUGUGACAACUCCGAAGGAUAAAUAGAAGGAAUUUGAUCUAUUGGUAAAAUCUCUUCAAUAUUUAUUGAAAAUUUUAUGUAUGUCAAUAGUCUUAAACAUAAUCUAUUAAGUAUUAGCCAAUUGUGUGAUAAAAGUCUCAAUGUCAUUUUUGAGUCUAAUGGUUGUAAAUUUAUUGACAUUUUGUCUAAUAAAAUUAUGCUUGUAGGUUAUAGAAUAGGAAAAUUUUAUAUGGUGCAUUUAGAUGAAUUGCAUGAUUCAAAUGUUUAUUUUAUUGUCAAAAAUGGAAAUUCUUCUUGGUUAUGGCAUAGAAAACUAGGACAUGCUAGUAUGAGCAUAUUUCACAAAUUAGUUAAAAAUGAUUUAGUCAGAGGGAUUCCUAAAAUUGACUUUGAUUUAGAAAAAAAUUGUGUUGCAUGUACCAAGGUAAACAUAGAAGAGUUUCUUUUAAACCUAUUAAUGAUGUGUUUACUAGUAGAGUUCUUGAACCAAGUCAUAUAAAUCUUUUUAGUCAUAUUAGAACAAAUAGCUUGGGUGGAAAACAAUAUGCAUUUGUACCUGUCGAUGAUUAUUCUAGAUUUACUUGGGUUCUUUUCUUAAGUAUUUAAUAUGAGGUUUUAGAAAAAUUCUUCACAUUUUCAAAACUAAAUCAAAAUAAAAAAUGUUACUCUAUUUCCAUGUAAUGAGUGACCAUGGAAUCAAAUUUCAAAACCUUGGUUUUGAUAAUUUUUGUAACUUAAAUAGGAUUAGUCAUCAUUUUUCUACACUUAGAACCCCUCAAGAAAAUGGAGUUAUUGAGAGGAGAAAUAGAACUUUAAAACAAAUGGCUAGAACUAUGCUUUGUGAAAAUAAUUUGCCAAAAUAUUUUUGGGUGGAAGCCACAAACACCACUUGUUAUAUUGUUAAUAGAGUAAUAAUUAGGUCUAUUUUAAAGAAAACUUCAAAUGAGUUUUUUAAAAAGAAAAGGCGUAACAUUAGUUAUUUUCAUCCUUUUGGAUGCAAGUGUUUUGUUUUAAAUAAUUAAAACGAUUAUAAUGACAAAUUUGAUGCAAAAAGUGAUGAAUGAUUUUUUCUUGGUUAUUCCUUAAACUCUAAAGCUUACCAAGUCUUUUAUAAAAGAACUUUAGUUUUAAAAGAUUCUGUACAUGUUUUUUUUACUCUAAGUUUCCUCUUGGAAAGGAUUCUUGUAUUGAUGAUGAUGCAGAAAUUUUUUACAAUGAUAAGAAAGUGGAUCAGUCAUCAAAUGAGAAUAUAUAAGAACAAACUCAAGAUGCUCUAAAGGAGCUUACAUUAGUGGAGAGGGAAGUCACUCAUCUAAGGGAGUAUAACUUUAUGAAAGAUGGUAAGAUUUUGGGAUCCAUCCAAAAGGGUAACUACUAUAUUUUCUCUAAGAAAUACAUGUAAUUUUGUUGCAUUUAUUCCAUGCAUAGAGCCUAAAAAUAUUAAAGAAGAAUUAAAUGAUGAAUAUUGGAUGUUGGCUAUGCAAGAUGCGUUCAAUCAAUUUUGGAGAAGUAAUGUAUAACACUAGUUAAAAGACUUAGUGAAAAAUCUACUAUAUGUUCAAGUGGGUUUUUAGGAAUAAGCUAGAUUAGAGUGGUAACAUAGUGAUGAACAAGGCUAGGCUUUUCACUGAAGGCUACAUUCAAGAAGAAGGAAUAGACUAUGAUGAAACAUAUGCUGUCGUAGCUAGAAUGGAAGUCAGUAGAAUGCUCUUUAUCUUUUGCAGGCUUUAAAGAUUUAAAAUUAUUUCGAAUGUAUGUCAAAGGUGCUUUUUAAAUGGUUUUAUUAAUUAAAAAGUAUACGUUGAGCAAUUAUUCAGUUUUGAAAAUCCAAAAUUUCCAAACCAUGUUUUUAAAUUAUCAAAAGCUUUAUACGGUUUAAAAUAAGCUCCCAAAGCUUGGUAUGAAAGACUUUCAAAUUUUCUUGUUGAAAAAAGUUUUUCUAAAGGGAAGGUUGACAACACUUUUUAUCAAAAGAAAAGGAAAAUAUUUAUUAGUAGUGCAAAUUUAUGUUGACGAUAUUAUUUUUGUUGCUAAUAAUAAAAUUCUUUGUGAGGAUUUUUAAAGCUAAUGUAAGGUGAGUUUGAAAUGAGCAUGGUGGGAGAGCUCUCAUUGAGCUUGAAAUGAGCAUGAUGGGAGAGCUCUCAUUCUUUUUGGGGCUCCAAAUCAAGCAAAGGAAUGAUGAUAUUUUCAUCAAUGAAGCCAGAUAUAUAAAGAAAAUGCUGAAGAAGUUUGGGAUGGAUAUCCUCAAAGCUCAAGUCGCUCUUAUAAGUCCUUCCACAUAGCUUGACAAAGAUGAAGAAGGUAAAUGUGUAGACAUUAAAUUAUAUAGGUCUAUGAUUAGUUCUUUUUUUUAUCAUACCGCAAAUAGACUGGAUAUUAUGUUCAGCUUUUGCUUGUGUGCUAGAUAUCAAUUAUGCCCUAAGGAAUCACAUUUACAAGCCGUUAAGAGAAUUUUUCGGUACUUUAGAGACACUCUUAAUUUAGGACUUUGGUGUCCUAGAGAUUCAUCCUUUAGCUUGCAUGUCUUCUCAGAUGUGGAUUUUGGAGGUUGCAAACUAAAUAGGAAGAGCACCUUCAGUACUUGUCAAUUCUUAGGCAACAUGUUAAUUUAAUGGUUUUCAAAUAAACAAAAUAGUGUUGCGUUGUCCACCACCGAAGCGAGAUACAUUUCUAUCGAUAGUUGUUGUGCUCAAGUUUUAUGGAUGAAACAAUAACUUAAGGGCUAUAGAAUUGUUAUAGAUACUAAUCCUAUCAAGUGUAACAAUACUAGCGUUAUUUAUCCCACUAAGAAUCUCAUCCGACACUCUAGGCCUAUGCAUAUUGACAUAAGACAUCAUUUCAUUAGAGAUCAUGUCCAAAGAGGGGAUAUUGUUCUAGAGUAUGUAGACACUUUGCGUUAAUUAGUUGAUAUUUUUACAAAAGCUUUAGACAAGGAAAUAUUUUGGAAAUAUAGGAGAGAACUAGGUUUCACCAACUUGCCUUGACUUUGUGUUGAAUAUUUUCUAUGCACUUUGAAUGAUUUUUAAACUUGUAUAUUUUUUACAUGUAUUGAAAAGGAAUGCUUGUAUGAUUUCCAUGGCUCUUAUAUGAAAAAACAUACGAUGAUUUUAAUGUGUUUGAUUAAUCUAUUUUGACUUAUUUGUCUAGCAUGAUUUAUUUUUUGAUGCGCUUGAACUUGUUAAAGUUAACUUUAUCUAGUUAACUUAGUCAAUUUUUUUAAUGAACUUAUUGUAAUUUAUGAAUCUUAUGCAUCAUGCUUACUCAUUGCACUUUCAUGCAUAUGAAAUCAUUAUAAUUUAUCUAAGAUUCAUUUUAAGACAUUUAGAAUACAUUAGGACUUCAAAAAUUGAGUUCUCGGUAAAUUUCUGUACAUGGAAAACAGAUCCGUAAUACUUUUCUGGUUUUAAGAGUACCUAAAUCGAGGGUUUCAAAUUGGUUUAUAAAAACCCCAAUUUCCUUUCCCCUUCAUCUCGAAAACCCUCUCCUCUAAACUAAAAAUUUCUUUAAAAACCUUUGAUUUUUAUCAUGAAAUAUUGAUGCUGAAAUACUUUCUAACACCAUUACAUCAAGAUUUCUUCAACAAUGUUCCAAGUUUUUCAACAUUUCAACAUUUUUGAGGUAAAACCUAUACAUUUCUUUUUAAAUUUAUGAAAUAUAAGUUAAAAUAUUGAAUUUUGAUGAGUUUUUGGCUUGAUUUGGACUCUAUAAACUAUGUUUUAUUGCAGGGGGUCACCUAUUUCUAAAAAUUUUCUCAAAAAUUUGUUUCAAACCCUUUGCCCACCAAGUGUUCGACAAAAUUCCUCAACAAAAUUUUUAAUAGUUUAAGUAUGUUUUUAGUAUUUUGUUUUUUAUCAUAGCCUCUAAGAAGCGUUCUAGAACUGGUGCCUCCUCUUCAAAUCCUUCUAGUGGGUUUAGAUCAUCAUUUAAUGAGUGUUUUAAUUCCAAAUAGGAACGAGAACGGUUCAAUAAAAAUUUUGUGUAGCACCCUAAACCCGACCAAGACGUUAUGGCCGAAUCUGGAAAUGUUACAAAGAAUGGUUUUGAAACAAUGACUUUCAUGUUAAAACUUCUUGUAUAAAUUGUUCCAAAAGAGAUCACAUUUUCGAAAAACUUAUUAUUAUCCUCUUUAAUGAAUCCGUUAUUUAUUGCCUUUUUAAGUGUAACAUAAAUUUUGCAGUGAAAGUUUAUAAGACGUUAUAGUUGAAAAUUGAGCUUGAUUUCAGAAAAAAUAUUUGUAUAGUUUAUUAUUCCAUGAGUUUAUAAGAUGUUAUAAUUGUAAUUUUGUAAAUUUUGCGGCGAAAGUUUAUCAGAAUAGCAAAUAUCAUGCACUAAGGUUUGUAUUCCCCUUACCGACCCUACAGAAGGCUCACAAUCGAUUGGAAUGACAUAUGUUACCCUAGGGAAAGUUUCAAAAUUUUGGGCCCACAUGCUCGUGUGGCUUGCCCAUGUCCCAUAAGCCCAUGUGGCCCACAUGGCCUGGCCUACAAUUCACACGCUCGCAUGACCCACACGCCCAAAUCAGCCUAGCCCGUGUGACCCACACGGCCACACACUCGCCCGUCACACAACCGUCUGUUGCACACGGCCGGGCACACGCCCGUGUGGCGUCAACAUGCCACUUUUUUGGCUUUCACCAAAUGUCAUUUUCUCGUGUUUUCAUUACACACCUGGUUCAUUUUUGAUGUGAAACCAAUCUCGAGACCUCCAAAACCUAAAAACAGUAUACUAAACACCGUUUUAGCAAUUGAUUUAAGCAUUAAACUAGAGGAACAAUAGCAAAACAUAAUCAAAUUCCCCCAUAACAGCAGAAACCACUUAAUUCUCAAUGGAUUUCGUUAAACAUAAUCAAAUUCCGCCACAACGCAAAAUGGAAAAAGAAAACAACUUGAUAGAUUACCUAUUCGGAACGAAUCGAAGAACCCCAAAACUACGAUACGAUAGUACGUACGACGACCAGAAUUGAGGAAGAAAAAGAAGAGAAAGAAGAAAUAACGUUAGAGAAAAGAGAAGAAAAAAGAAUUUUGGGAAAACAAAAGAAUUAAAAUUAAAAUUUAAUUCUACCAAAAUCCCAACUCCCAACAACCCCACUAAAUUCGACCACUAACCUCAUCCAACUACCUCAGAAACUGAAACUCUAUUACACAACUGAGUAAAAAUUAUCAUCCACGUUCACACAAGGAUUCGAACACGAGACUUAGGGUAAGCUAACACCUUACCACUUGAACCAAUAGGCUCAUUCUGAUAUGAGUUUACCAAGAAUAUAACAUACGCCCACUAAAAAGGGAUAAGGCUAAGACCAAAAAUAACAUAUUUUUCCAAAAGUGGCACUUGAACCCAAGACCUCAAACACACACCAACACCACUUAACAACUAAAGCAAACUCAUUUAUAUCAAAAUUCUCAAAACAAAAUUAAAUAAUUCAAGGCGUUACAUUUUGCAUCUAAACAAGUUUAGGAGUCUAGGAAGAUAGAUUUUGUCAUGUUAGAUAUAAAUUUCUCUUAUCUUUUAAUUUUUCAAAGUUGGGGCUGGAAUGGUUUCUUAAAAAUUUCCUCACCGACUUACAUUAAUGUUGUUCAAGCUUUUUACUCAAAUGUCAAACUCAAACAUGAUGAGUCUGCCGAUAUGGUCAUUGUUAUCACAUCCUUUUUAAUGAACACUCUGAUUGGACUUACUUUAGAUGGUUUCAGAAAUUUUCUUCAUUUGUCUUCCAAAGGUAACUCUAAUGAAAAAAGAUCCUACAACCUUGCACUUUAUUUUAAGUCCAAACACGCAUCCGAACCCAAUCUCUCUAAUUGUGUUCUCCAUCUCAUCAUAACUUAGAAUCUUCGUCCUAUCAAAAAACAUGUCAUGCUUCACUCCAUCGAUUGUUGGUGUAUCGAUUCUAUUCAAUUCAAUAAGCGUCCCGACCUCGCUCCUAUAAUGUUCAAUGAUAUAACUAUGGGCAUCGAAAAGGUAAUGUCUACAAGUAUUACCCUUCCCAUGGCACCUAUUUGUCAUACAUUUUUAGGAAAUUAGGGAUUAAUACCCAUAGAGACACCCCAGCACCUCAAAUCAACCUGUUUGUCAUACAUCGUUAGAGAUGCAAAUGGCAUCACUUCUAAAUCACUAUCCUUCUACCCCUCUUUUUUCUCCUAAUGAUGACGAUUAGGAUAGUUAUUGCACAUUCAUAUAAUUUUUCGCAUCAUUUGCACUAUUAUUUUUGCUUAUGUCCUAUGACUAUAGUAUAUUGAACCUCAAUGCUUAAUUGGUAUUUUAAGAUACUUUUAUGGUUAUUUUGCAAAUGUUAGUUUAUUUCUUCUUUGUUUUUUUUUAAUUUCUAUUCGUUCUCCUAAGCUUUAGUCUAUUUUUGAUAUAACAAAAAAGGGGAGAAAGUAAGGUAAAUCAUUGAUAGGCAAAGGUAAAUUAGUUGAUUAAUGUUUGAUAUUGAGCUAAAUUAUCAUUAUGCAAAUUAAGUGACCAUUCUUUUCAAAGUAAAAAUGAAUGUCAAAUUUUUAAAUAUAUGUCAGUUUUUAGGCCUUAAAUUUAAAAUGACUUUAAUACUGGGGGAGCAAUUUAUUCAAAAACAAAUUUACCAAAUGUUUUGUUAUAUCAAAAAAGGAGAGAUUGUUAUACCAAGCUCUAUUUGAUAAUAUGUUUCGAAAUAACAAAUUAAAAUUCUUUUUGAACAAAAGUUAAAAUUGAACAAAUUUGGCAAAUUGAUAUUUCAAAUGAAGUCUAAGAGAUAAAAUUUUAAACCUAUUACUUUGAACUCUUAGAAAAAUUUUCAAUCAACAUUUAAAUCAAGUUAAAAUAGUUUCAAUCAAGUUAGAAUUUUUUUCAAUCUAUUAAACUAUUUUUUAAAACAAGUUAGUAUAGUUGCAAGCCAAAAAGUAUCAAUAGUUUCCAAAAUAUCGAUACCCCUUCAAAAAUCGAUACCAAAUUGACAUUUUGUUUCUCAACCAAUUCAACUAAGUAUCGAUCUAGUAUCAAUACUUUUCAUAUGGUAUCGAUAAAACCACUGGGAUCGAUAUCUUUAGCUUCAAAGGUCACUGAAUUUUGCAUUAAAUGCAAAACAUAUCGACACGUUGUUAGCAAGUAUCGAUACUCAUAGUUGCAAGUGAACUAAAUGCACUGGUUAUUUUAUCCCUAAUGGCUCUAUUCACUUCUCCAACAACCACAACAGUUGGAACACAAUUAGGGGUAUAAAUAUCAGCUUCCAAAGGUCCUACAACAAGAUAAAAUAUUAUCAAGCUUAAAGAUCGAUCAAAAAUAACCUUGUGCUUACAAUUCUGAACAGUUUUCUUUCAAUACACUUGUGAGAUUUUAUUAUUAUCAUUUAGCUCAAGUGUUUCUCCUAGUAAUUGAGCUUAACUUGCAAACAUUUUGAUCUUGUAAGAGUUAUUUCAUUGUUUGCUUAUUUGUAUCUCUUUGAAACAUUCUGAUCUUGUAAGGAUUAUUACUUUGUUUGCUUAUUUGUAUCUCUUAUAGAGGGUUUGUGUCUUAAGGUUUGGGUAAAAACCUUAAGGGAGUUUGUAAGGUUAAACCUCAUCCUCAAAAGUUGUCAAAUUAGUGGAUUUUGGAAAAUCCUUAGUAGUGGAAAGCUAAUGUAGUGGAGUAGGAAAUUGGGGUCUAGCCACUCUAAAUUCUUGUGUUCAAUUUUUCUAUCAUUAUUCUCUAGCAUCCAUAAAAUUUUAAAAAGACAAUUCACUGCCUUCUUGGCAAUUUCAAUUUGAUUAUUUUAGCUAACAGACAUAGUUGUGACUGGCUUUGUGAUAUCCUCUCAUUGACAUUAAUGAUAGAUGAAAAGUAAACCUGGUCAUAGGUCAUUUUUCAUUUUGACAAAUGAUUUAAUUACCAUUUAAUAGCAAUUUACUUUUCAUGAAGGAAGAUGUAAUUGUUACUGUGAGAUAAAAUAGGAUCAUAUUGGGAUAAUAAAUUUAUCCCAAGUAGAUUAAGUAUAUCCUAUGAGGGUAGCACACUCAUGAAAAGGUCAUUGGACGAACACUUAUUAAGUAGUUUUUAUAAUGGUAUAUAAUAAGGGAGAGCUCGGUCACGAUACUUUAUUGGAAUGACUUCGUGACUAAAUAAAGUUAUAAUUAAUAGGCAAGAAGCUAGAAUAUAAUUAUAAAUUAUUUGAGUCCUAAUUAUUGCUCCCUCCACUAGCUGGAGAUAACCAGAAACAAAUUGCAUGUAGAAACAAUAAUAAGAAAUUAAUGAAAACGAUGAAGUAAGAGAAAUAGAUCGCAUGUAUCACUGUCCUCAUUGAAUGCGUUUUCUCGCUAAGUACAAAGUUGACUUAGAAAUUAAUUUAAUUUCUUCGAAUUAUUAUUUAAUUCAUUGUAAUUAAGUAAUUAAAGUUUGAAGUAAGAAUUACAUUAAUUAGUCAUUAUGAAUUUUUUUAAUGAGACAAUUAAAUAUAUUUUUCUGAUAGAUUUUAAUACGCUCAAGUUGUAAUGACUUUAGCUAAAUUAGAAUUGGGUUGAGAAAAUUAAUUUAAUUGAGAAAUUAGUUUCAUUACUUUAAUUAAUAAAAUUAAUCGAUUAAAUAAAUAAUAUUUUGGAAAAUAAAAAUAAAUAUUUGAUUGGAUAAAUUAUAAGUGUUGCAUAAAAGUCUAGAUAACACACAUAAUUGGACCUAAUACAUGAAAAGCACAACUAGGCCAUGUGGAGCAGAAAGCACAUCAAGCCCUAGUAAUCCAUAGGGCAUUAUACAACCCCUUACCUCUUCUAUUUAGACUAGAAGUUAUAUUUUUUGUUCAAAUAUUAUUUAAUUAACCUUAUUCGAAAAGAACUCUUGUACUGAUUCUUUAUAAAUAUCACAAAGCACGUGCGUAACACCCCUUAACCAGCUCGAUUGUCGAACUCGAGUAAUAAGAUGCUAUGAGCAAAAACCAAACAAAUAGAAGCAAUUUAUAAAACAAAAUUUCAAUUUAAUUAUCAUAAUAUCACAUAUAAUCAAAUACAUCAUGUAAUUCAAUCUAUUUUGGUGUUAUAUUGAGCAUACGGAAGCCUAAAAACAUUUUGGUAUCAAUCAGGGAUCAAAUUGAAACAAGACAAAAAAUAGGAAAAAUUGUGCAAACAAAGGUUACACAGUCCUGUCCUUUAGUCGAGUGUGAAAGCCAAACCCGUGUGUGAUGAACCAAACGGUCAUGUCACUAAUCAUGUCCCUAGAUAAUAUACCUAACAAUGACCAUAGGCACGAAAAUCACUUAAAAUUUUACAAACCACACGGUCGAGCCAUGCCCGGGUGUAUGGCACACAACCGUGUGCCAGACCGUGUCUCAAGUAGUGUGUACCUCGAAAAUGCCUUCCAAAAUAAGUUAUUCAACCAUGAUACACUUAUGCCACAAGCUACCAUUUAAGCUACAUUUCAACUAGGGGUGAGCAUUCGAUCGAAUCGAAUCGAAUCGAGAAUUUUCGAGUUAAUCGAGUUUUCGAAUCUCAUUUUAUCAUCCUAACUUUAUUUGAAGUUUUCUCGAAUCGAGUUGAGUGAGAUGGAAUUCGAAUCGAAUCGAAUUGAAUAUAUUUGUUCGAGUUAAAUUUUAAAAAAUAAUUUUGGGUGCUUGUAACCAUUAUCACCCAUCGUAAUAAAAUUUGUCCACUAAUCAAAUUUUUUAUUAACUUUCAUCACUUCAUAAUUUAUUUAUUAAUUUUUUAAAUAUUGGUUAGCUUCUUUGCUUGCUUAGUUGUUUCAAUUAUCUUCAGAUUCUUGUCACUAUUUAUUUUAGAAUUAAAAAAUAUAUUAAAUGAAAAAAUAUAAUUUUUUAAUAAAAGUUAUUUUAAAAAUAAAAUGUGAAAUUGAUACCAAUAUAAAAUUUUAACACGAAUAUUUUAUGGCAUAAUUAAUAAUUCAAUUUUAAUAUAAAUAUUCAAUAUGACUAAACAAUUCAAUAAUAUAAAUAAUAUAAAAUGUGAAAUUUAAUUUAAUAAUAUAAAUAGUAGAUAUAAAUAAAAUUAUUACUAUUUAUGUUUAGUGAUUUUUUUUGGAUAAUUUUGAUUUUUUAUUUGAGAGUAAAGGGUGAGAAGUAAAAGUUUAGGGGAAAAAUAAAAAGUUUUGGGUAAUAAAAGUUUGAGGGAAAGUAAAUAGGGGGGAGUAAAAAGGUUUGGGAGUUGGGGGUAAAAAUGUAAAAUAUUAUAGUUUGAUAUUUGAAUUAUUCGAAUUAUUCGAGUUAUUCGAAUUUGAAAACUCAACUCGAUUCGAACUCAAAAUUCGAAAAAAAAUUCGAGUUGAUUCGAAUAACUCGAUUAACUCGAAUAACUCGAUUCGUUUAACUCGAAAUUCAAAAUUUUUUUCGAUUUUUUCUAGUCGAAUCGAGUUUUUCUCACCCCUAAUUUCAACCUAUACAAAAGCAUCCAAUUCAAGUCAAAAUCAUAAUUUCAAACAACCAUCUAAGUGCUUAUCCAAUAUGCCACAUUUGGCACAUUAAUCAACAAUUCAAAACAAGCCAAAUGAUCAUAUUCAGUUAUGCUAAUAUACCUUCAAUGAUACCUCAAAUGAUCAAGCGACACAUGUAUACGUUUAACCAUUCAAUCAUCUCAUGUUUAAGUAUCAAACUGGCCAAAAUAUUUCCUAAACAUAACCUAAACAUAUCAUCCAUCAAACCAAAUCAAACAUCAACCAAACACAAUACCUAGCAUGAUAUUUUCUCAACCGUUAGAACAUUAGGCAUAUAUCCUAAACAACCUAUCAAGACAUCAACCACAUAACCAUUACCAUCACAUAAAUACAUACACUUUAAUACAUAAUAUCCAUAAAUACCAUCAAUAUAAAAAAUGAUUAUAAUUACCAAAAGACUUCCUAGGUACAUGCCAAGACCCAAAAUGAGCACAUCACCAACACUUGAGUCCAAGAUUGCCGCUGGAUGUUGAGUCGAUGAUCGGAUCACUAAGUACCUAACCUGCGCACGAAAAUAAAAUCAUACACUGAGUAUACUCAAUGUUAUUUCUAUAAUUCGAAUAUUUAUAUCUAAUCUGAAACAUAAUGAUGCAUAAGCUAACAUAAAUAAUGAGGUGCAACAUAGAAAUUACUAGCUAUUUCUCAAAAUCAUCACAUUUUACCAAUGUUAGAAUAUGGCAAUUUUAAUUCAUAUAUCAUUCCCUACUAACAUGACUUGCACUUAAACGGAUAUGCAAAUCCAACACAACAAAUUGGCAUCUGGUGCUUGACAAAUAAAUCCAUAAUAAUGAAUUGCGCCCUGCGCUAGCUGGUAAAGACUGACAAAUAAAUGUGCCCAGAACUGGUUAGUAUAACCGAAAAAUGGGGUGCCCAGCAUUCCACGAUAUGUAGUCGUACAAUCCUGAACUCUUCGUAUCAUAUGGCAUGCCAAUUAUACUCGACCCUACCUAAACGUUAAUAGGAUAACAAUUUUCCCAAUUAAAUUUAUAAACCAGUUCUUCAGUUACAUAUAACAAAUCCACCAAUUAAAUCAUCCAUUCAUAUACAUAACAACAUGUUUCAUUUCCAUAUCAAAUUCAAUUUCACAUACAAUAUACAUUACUUUUACAACUAUGCAAUUUAAUCAUUUGUCACCACUAAUCAUUCAAUCACAUCAUUUCAAUGUAGAUUUAAAAUUUCACAAUGUUAUUCCAAAGAACUAACUCACCUUAUAAACUUACCAAUUAAUGCAAUGUGUAAAUGCAACAAUUGAAAUAGUUUGGAUUAUAAAAACACAAACCUUAAACUCUGAGCUACUCAUCGAUGACUUUGUCUUUUCCUUUCUUUUUGGAGGAAUUCGGGUCCACGUUAGCUACAUAAUAAAACAAAUAUAGUAAAUUAUCAAUACACAGCCAAAUACGCAUUCAAUUGCUAAAUUAUGAAACUUUUACAUUUUAUUUAAUUUAGUCCUUAAAAUAGGGAUUAACAUAACUUUCACAUUUAACCCCUUAAUUUAAAGUUGAAUUUACUAAAGCCCAUUUAGGACUUUUUAUUUUUCAAUUGUACCAUAAUUUUAAUAAUUUUUACACUUUAGUCUUUAUUCCACAAAAUCAUCAAUUAGAUUUACAAUUUAGUCUUUUUUCAAUUCUAAACUUAAAAUCUAUCAAAUUAACCCCUAGAACUUCAACUAUCCAUCAAUGGCAACAUCUUCAAUCUUUAAUACUACCCAAAAUAGGACAUGAUUUAGCUAGCUUAAACUAUUGGGAUUCUGAAAACAUAAAAAUUACAAGAACAUGACUAAAUUGCACCAACCAAAUUGAGCUUGAAUUUUUUGAAUAACCUAGUUGUGUGUUCUCCCCUUUCUUUCUAUGCUUCAAAAUUUUGUAGAAAUAAAAAGGAAAUGUGUUUUGUUUUUAGUUUCCACUACUUUAGUUUUAUUUUAUUUUAUUACUUUGUGUUUUGUUAUUAUUUAUUAAUUUUAUUACAUUUUCUUUUAUAAAUUCAUUCAUUAACAUCCACUUUCAUUAAAUACUUCCAACACCACUGACUUGUGGGUCGUUACAAUUUUACCCCUAAAGAAAUUUCGUCCCCAAAAUUUACCUAAAAAGAGGUGGAUACUAAGCUUUCACCGUCUCUUCAGAAUCCCAAGUCGAUUCCUCGAUCUUGUGGCUACAGCACUGAACUUUCACGAGUGGAACGUGUUUGUUUCUUAACUCUUUCACCUUGCAAGCUAGAAUUUUGACCUAUUUUUCCUCGUGUGUCAAGUCAGACUGAAUUUCAAUUUCUUCCUUUGAAACAACAUGAGACGGAUCCGAUCAAUAUCUCCUAAGCAUCAAAACAUGAAAACAUCAUGUAUUUCCAGUAAUUCCACUGGCAAAUUGAACUGAUACACAAAUGGUCCAACUCUUCCGAUGAUUUUGUAUGGUCGGAUAAAUCGAGGACCCAACUUCCCUUUCCAGCCAAAUCACAAAACUUUCUUCCAUGGAGACACCUUUAGAAAUAAUUUAUCGCCCACAAUAAAUUCUAUAUCAUGACAUUUUAGGUUCGCGUACAAUUUCUAUCUAUUGGAAGUUAUUGUCAAUCUUUCUAUGAUCACUUCAAUUCUAUCUUUUGUUUCCUGAAUCAAUUCCGAUCCAAUAAUUUUUAUUUUGCACAAAUCCGACCAACAAACAAGUGUUCAACACCUUCGACCAUAUAAUGCCUCAUAUGGAGCCAUUUGAAUGCUCAAUUGAAAGUUGUUAUUGUACAGAAAUUCAGCCAACGGUAAAUAACGUUCCCAAGCUAAUUCAAAAUCAAUAACGCAAGCUCAAAGCAUAUCCUCCAAAAUAUGUAUUACAUGCUCUGCCUAUCCAUUUGUCUACGGCUGAAAAGCAGUGCUAAAGUUUAAUUUCGCACCUAAAGAUUUACGUAACUAUUUCUAGAAUCUCGAAGUAAAUUGGGGGAUCCCAAUCAGGGAUAAUUGAUAUAGGUAUGCAGUGUAAUCUAACAAUUUCCAGAAUAUAUACCUCAACUAGCUUUAGAAGUAACCAAUCAAUUCUAACAACAAGAAAAUGAGCUUACUUUGUUAGCCAAUAAACUAUCACCCAAAUUGCAUUUCUUUUGCUCAGAUAUAAUGGUAACCCUAUUACAAAAUCCAUGGUUAUACGCUCUCAUUUCCAAUCAGGAAUCGAGCUAGGCUGUAGAAGUUUGGUGGGAACCUAAUGUUCCGUCUUGACUCGUUGACAAGUCAAACAUCUAGCAAUAAACUUGACUACCUCUCUUUUCAUAUUGGGCCACCAAUACAACUUCCGUAAAUGGCGAUACAUUUUAGUUCCACCAGGGUGCAUAGAAAAAGGACUAUCAUGAGCUUCAUGAAGUAUUAAUUCCUAUAAAUUAGCAACAUCUAGAAUAGAAAUUCAAUUACGAAACAUUAAACAAUCACAAUCAUCAAUGCUAAAAUUUUUAUCGAACCAUUCUGAACCAAUUCUUUUUUUUCCCGACAACCUAGCAUCAGCUAAUUGUAUUUCUUUGAUUUGGUCAAACAACACCGAUUUGAGUUUCAACUCAGCCAACAAAUUGUCAUCAUUGCUAAUACUGAGUUGAGCUAACAUCGCUCGCAAUUCAACUACUUCCUUUCGACUCAACGUAUUGACUACGAUGUUCACCUUACUAAGGUAGCAAUCGAUAACACAAUCGUAAUCUUUCAAAAGUUUAACCCAAUGAUGUUGUCUCAAAUUCAACUCCUUUUGAGUUAGGAUGUAUUUACAAGUUUUGCGAUCGGUAUAUAUAUGACACUUUUCACUAUAUAAAUAGUGCCUCCAGAUCUUUAGAGCGAAAACCAUAGCAGCUAGCUCUAAAUUCUGUGUCGGAUAGUUAUAUUCAUGCAUUUUUAGCUAGCAGGACACAUACGUAAUCACUUUCCCAUCUUGCAGUAAAACGUAGCCCAAACUAAUCAAUGAAGCAUCACUACAUACCACAAAGUCUUUCCCCAAUUCAAGUAAGGUUAGAACUGGCUCUUCAGUUAAUAUCUAUUUCAAUUUCUCGAAACUCUCUUAGCACUGAUUGCUCCAACCAAACUGAACAUUCUUUUGCAAUAGCUUAGUCAUCGACAUGGUUAUUUUUGAAAAUCCAUUAACAAACCUUCGGUAGUAACCGAUCAAUCCAAGAAAACUAUGGACUCUAACACAUUUCUCGGUGCUUUUCACUACUCGAUGGCUUCAAUCUUUUUCGAAUCAAUUCUAAUCCCAUCAGUCAAAAUAACAUGUCCAAGAAACACAACCUCAGGUAACCAGAAUUUGCAUUUGUACAUUUCCCGUACAAUUGCUUUUCUUGAAAAACUUGCAAAAUGAUCCGAAGAUGUUGUUUGUGCUCAGCUUUAGAUUUCGAAUAGAUCAGAAUGUCGUCGAUGAAAACUACCAUGAAUUCAUCCAAGUAUGGUUGGAAUAUGCAAUUCAUGAGAUCCAUGAAUGUUGUAGGAGCAUUUGUUAAACCGAAAGUCAUCACCAAGAAUUCAUAAUGGCCAUAACGCAUGCAAAAUGCCGUUUUCGGUACGUCAUUAUCUUUUACUUUCAACUAAUAGUGACCAGAUCCCAAAUCAAUCUUAAAAAAAUAUUAAAGCUCCUUUCAACGGGUUGAAUAAAUCAUUGAUACGAGAUAGGGUGUACCGAUUCUUAAUCGUCAAUUUAUUCAAUUUUUUUCUAAUCUAUACAAUUAACGAACAAAACUACAGCUCCCUAGGGCAAUAUACUAAGGCGUCUAAAGCCGCAAUCCAGUAAUCUUGCAAUUCAACUUUUAGUUCCUUUAGCUCUGUCGAUGCCAUACGAUGAGGGCAAAUCGACACUAGAGUCGUACUAGGAAACACUUCAAUUGAAAAUUCAACUUCCCGAUCUGGUGGUAAUCCCAGUAAAUCCUCGGGAGACAUAUCAUGAAAUUCACACACAAUUCGAAUCUUACUCAGUUGAUUGUUGUCAGUGUUCGAAUUGAUGACAUAAGCUAGAAAAGCUUUGUAACAUUGAUUCAACAGUUUACUAGCUUGUAUAGACGAAAUUAUUCGAGUUGAACCACUCGUUCUGAUGUCAAUUACUUCCACAAUCUCUCAUUUUGGCCCUUGAAUAGAAAAUUUUUUCUUUUGGCAGUCCAAAAUCACUUUGUGCUCAGUUAGCCAAUCCGUACCCAAGAUCAAAUCAAAAUCGCCAAAAGGCAGGAUCAACAAAUCUACCGGGAAUGCUAAACUUUGAAUUUCUAACAAGCAACAUCUACACACUUGAUCCACUAACACCAAAAGGACUCGAUAUAGACAUGGCUACUUUCAAAAAUUUAGGCUUUAAACUCCCCGAUUUAACCAAAUCAACAUUAAUAUACAACUGAGAGAAACUAGGGUCUAUUAAAGUAUAAACAGGUGAAGAAAAUAGUACAAAUAUACCUGCUAUGACAUCGGUAGGAUUGCCUUCCUCUCGAGUAUGAACUAUAUAAGCUCGCGCUAGAGCUCUAGCCACUAUUUUUUGUACCACUGAUUCUUUCCAUUUUCUCGAAUCACUUCUUGGUAUUGAACCACCACAGUUAAAACCACAACCCCUAAUUGAAUGUGCAGAUCUCUAAGUAACCACCAGUACAGUAUUAUCAUCUUUCGAACACUCAUGAGCGGAAUGCUCCAGUGAUUCACAUUAAAAAUAGGUAUUAGAUCAUUUCAAGCAUUUCUCCCAGUGUUUAUUCCCACAAAUCUCACAAUUCGACGCUUUAGGAGCUUUAGUCGGGCCUUUUGCACUACCAACUGAACUGUCAGUUGUCAGUCUCGCGUUUUGUUUGAUGUAACAAAUCUUGCAAGUGUUGUCCAAGAAUCAUGAGAUUCUCUAGUUCGUUUAGAAACUUGAUGCGAGCUAGGGGUUUCUUCCCAUUUCCUAGCAACUCGCGUAACCUCAACUUUCUGGUCAAGACCUAAAGUUUACUCCACCAUUUUUGGUCACUCAACUAAAUCAGUAAACUAUAAACUUUAAUGUGAUACAAGUUAAACUCUAAGCUCGUCGCGUAAACCACGCAGGAAACCUUUGCAACUUUCAACUUCAAAUAGCACAAACUCUUAGGCAUAUUUACUAAGUCAUAAAAACUCGCGUUCUUGAUUAGCCACUAACAUUUCAUUAUUUUUCAAGAACAAAAAUUUUUGUUUUCGAUCUUCAAGAUACAACUAUUUGACAUACUUUUUCUGAAAUUCAUUUUGAAAGAACUCCCAAACGGCUCAUUUAGUAGGUACGUGGCUUGCUAUUAUCUGCCACCAUGUAAACGCUUCCCCUUGCAGAAGAGAAACGACACACAUUACACUUUCACGCGGGGUGCACUCGAGUUGCUAUAAAGUAUGUUUGGUCAACUCCAACCAAACUUCAACAGUUAAGGAUCAACCCCUUUCAGACCCAAAAACACGGUAGCACCAUAUCUUCGUAUAUCUUUAAUCGGAUCCCGUCGAACAACAUACAUAGAUACAACAGCAGAAGUAGCUCCUACCACUUUCUAAAAUGCAUCGGCUAUAUCUCAAAGAAGGGUCAAAUCACUUUGCCUCUCAUUUCUAUCUCUAUCAACCCUAGGCAGCUGAGCACCAGCUUAAUUUUCACUCGGUGGCACUAAUUCGGCCCUAAUCUCAUUCUGUAUGAAAUGGCCAUUACUAUGGAUACUCUGAUUUACUUCGUUUCUAGAUUCACCUGACAUUGUUCAAUUAUAUAAAAAAAACAAUAUAAUCAGCAUCCAAAUCCCAACUUGGACUCAACUCAAUUUUGGCAUGUACCUCUACACUCAACUCAACCAUUAAACACUUAUGCCACAAGCUACCAUUUAAGCUACAUUUCAACCUAUACAAAAGCAUCCAAUUCAAGUCAAAAUCAUCAUUUCAAACAACUAUCCAAAGUGCCUAACCAAAAUGCCACAUUUGGCACCUCAAUCAACAAUUCAAAACUAUCCAAAUAAUCAUAUUCAAUCAUGCCAAUAUACCUUCAACGAUACCUCAAAUCAUCAACGACACAUGUAUAUGUUUAACCAUUCAACCAUCUCAUGUUUAAGUAUCAAACUUAUCAAAAUAUUUCCUAGACAUAACCUAAACAUAUCAUCCAUCAAACCAAAUCCAAACAUCAACCAAACAUAAUACCUAGCAUGAUAUUUUCUCAACCAUUAGAACAUUAGGCAUAUAUCCUAAACAACCUAUCAAAACAUUAACCACAAAACCAUUACACAUAAAUACAUACACUUUAAUACAUAAUAUUAAGAAAUACCAUCAAGAUACAAAAUGAUUAUAAUAACUAAAAGACUUCUUAGGUACAUCCCAAGACCCAAAAUAAGCACAUCACCAACACUUAAGUCUGGGAUUUUCACUGGAUGCUGAGUCGAUGAUUUGAUCACUAAGUACAUAAUCUGUGCACGGGAAAAAAAUUUGUUCACUAAGCAUACUUAGUGGUAUUUCAAUAAUCUAAAUAUUUAUAUCUGAUCUAAAGCAUAAUGAUGCAUAAGUUAACAUAAAUAAUAAGGUUCAACAUAGCAAUUACUAUAUAUCAAUUCACUUACUCAUUUUUUCAAAACCAUCACAUUUUACCAAUGCAAGAACAUGGCAAUUUCAUUUCAUAUAUCAAUUAAUACAUUCAAAGUUCAUAAUCAACUUUAACUCAAAUGUUCGACCAUCAUGGUUUCAAUUUUCUUUUUUAAUUCCCUAUUAAGAUGACUUGGACUCGGAUGGAUACACUAAUCCAACCAACACACCAAAUUGGCACCCAGUGCCUAACGGAUAAAUCUGUAAUAAAGAAUUACACCCUGUGCUGGUCAGUAGAGACUGACAAAUAAAUGUGCCCAUCACAGGUUGGUAUAACCGACAAAUGGGGUUCCCAGCACUCCCCGAUACGUAAUCAUAUAACCUUGAACUCUUCCUAUCGUAUAGAUGUUAAUGAUACUCGACCCUACCCGAACAAUUAAUAAGUUGAAAAUUUUCCCAAUUCAAUUGAUAAAUCAAUUCUUCAAUACAUGACAUGUCUCAUUUCCAUAUCAAAUCGAAUUUAACAUACUUGACGACUUUGUCUUUUCCUUUCUUUUUCGAGGAAUUCUGGUCGACGUUAGCUACUGAUUAAAACAAAUAUAUUAAAUUAUCAAUAGACAACCAAAUUCGCAUUCAAUUGCUAAAUUAUGUAACUUUUGCAUUUUAUUUAAUUUAGUCUCUAAAAUCGGGAUUAACAUAACUUUUACAUUUAGCCCCUAAUUUAAAUUUGAAUUCACUAGAAUCCUAAUAGGGCUUCCUAUUUUUCAAUUAUACCACAAAUUUCUUGACUUGUCAUUUUAGUUCCUAUUCAAAAAAUCAUCAAUUGGCUUUAAAAUUUAGUCCUUUUUCAAUUCUAAACUUAAAACCUAUCAAGUUAACCCCUAAAACUUCAACUAUCCAACAAUGGCAACAUCUUCAAUCUUUAAUAGUACUGAAAAAUAUGGCAUAGGUUAGCUAGCUUAAGCUACCAAGAUUCCAAAAACAUAAAAAUUGUAAGAAAAUGACUAAAUUGAAUUAACCAAAUUGAGCUUGAAAAUUUUGAAUAACCUAGCCGUGCCUUCUCCCUUUUCUUUCUAUGCUUCGAAAUUUUAUAAAUAUAAAAAGGAAAUGUGUUUUGUUUUUAGUUUCCACUACUUUGGUUUUAAUUUAUUUUUCUUACUUUAUGAUUUAUUUUUAUUUAUUAAUUUUAUGAAAUUUUCUUUUAGAAAUUCAUUCAUUACGGUACACUUUUAUUAAACCAUUGGUUUAAUUACAUUAUAAUAAGUUCUAAUUAUAAUUCCUUAAUAAUUCACACUUUUAUCACUUACGUGAUUUAGUCUAUGUACGCUAAUAAAACCCUAAUUCAAUAAAAUUACCCAACCAAAACUCAAUUCAUUUCAAUUAUAACUCCAUAAAUAUUUAAUAAAAAUAUUUAUGAGUCUCAUUUUCGAAACCACUCUUUCCAACACCAGUAACUUGCGGAUCACUGCAACAUGUAUAAUUUCAAUUAAGUUUAUUGCUAUAAAUAUCAUAAAGGCACGAAUUUAAAGAAAAUUUUCUAAAUAAAUUAUUUUCUAAACUGAUUGUUCCAAAAUAGAUACAAUACAACCUCAAAAUCUUGAAUGGUGAAACCACAAACUUCUUGACAAUUCCAUAACCUACGCAUUUCAACAACCAACACUUAAGCUCGAUGAGCACAAUAAGUACACAUGGAUAAACCUACUUAUCCUAUUCAUUAUUUAUCUUUAAGCCCCCAUGGAAGUGAUUAUUACAAAGUUCGCUCAUUCUAGUUUUUAGUGUUAUUAGUGGGUUCAUUUUUGUUACCAAAAUGUAAGGGCUUAACUUACAUGUUAAUGGUGUAUUAGUUGAUCACAUUAUAAAGUUCAGACACAUGGCUCUUAUGUAGCACUCAAACUAUAUUUAGUCAAAUGUAUAUCCUCAUUUUUCCAUAGUUCUCAACACGUUCACACAGAAAUUCCACUUUUUAUUAGAGUUUGCUUAACAUAGUCUUGCAUAAGUUUCUUCAUCAUAUAGCUAAAUGUUCAUUGGUGUCAUUUAGUAUUUAAACAUUAUGCUUUUAUUUCCUUCAUUAGGAGUAUGUAGUUUCAGAAUUUUCGCUCCUUAUAUCAUUCUCUUAUGGCAUUAAUGCUUAUAGAAUAGUUUAUAGUUUUUCCUUUAUUGAGGAACAUUUGAUAUAUUGUCUUAAUUCACUUAAGUUAAUCCAAUUAUGCCACAAAUGACCAGAACAUGAUAUCACAACAAAUUUAUUAUCAUUAUACUUAUUUGUUCCAUUUCUUUUUAACUUAUUUAGCUUAUAUCCCUUAGUAAACUCUAGCAAAAUGUGAUUCAAAUUUACGAGAUCCAUGCAAACACAACCAGAGAGCAUGUAAGUGCUUAGACAUAAGCCAUCAUAUCACAACCCUUCAAAACACAUCGAAAAGCACUUAAGUGUUAAUCUUCCAAAACACACUAAAGAGUGCAUAAGCAUUGAGCCCAAAGACAAUAAAGAGUACACAUAAGUACAAGGCCUAAAGGAAACAAAACUCUAAGACCAUGCAUAACUGCAUAGACUUAAGGCAAUAAAGAUUCAAUCACAUCACAUAUCCCAAACCAAAUGUGCAUCUAAUCUCUAUUGGCAUGUCAAUCAUAUCCUAACUACUUCACUAAGUUUACUAAGGCAUCUUACAAUUACAAUUUGUAACACCUUAUACCUGGUCUGGUCGACGAGCCCAAGUAAUAGGAUGUUACACCACCAUCUCAUCAACAAAAAAGCAUAAAUCAUCUCAUUUACAUACAAUUAUUGUAAAAAUUCCAUUUGAUAAUUAUAGAGAUUCUAAGUCAUGAAUACCCUAAGCAACAUUAAAUUAUGCUAAACAUACAUUAGACGAGCUUAUAAUAAGAUUUAAACAUGCUCUUAAUUCAUUUAACAAAGUUUCUAAAAAAAUCACGUAGGUAUCGGUACUGAAUCAAAUGUAUUCAUAAUUCGCAUAAAUGGUAUCGAUACCACCCAAAAAAUUGGUGCCAAAUUAGCAUUAUGCCUCUCACCUAAAAUCAAAACCAAGAAAUUAUCGAUGCAUUUCAAUAAAUAUCGAUUUUACUACCCUGAUUAUCGACACUCGUGAUAUGGUAUCGAUACCAAAUUAAGUUACUAACUUCCUACACAUUCAAAAUAUCAAGAAGGUAUCAAUUUUAAAACCCGAAUCUUGAUACCUCUGCUCUAAGCAACAAAAACACAGCAUAUUAAGGUAUAUAGUCUAUUCAAACUUUAUCAAAUCAAUAUGCAUCUAUUACUUUAUCAAAAUUCGUUAAAACAACUAUAAUGGCAGUUCAAAACAUUGUCAAUGAGUCCAAACAAGCAAUCAAUAUAUCAAGCUUGAUAUCUAUAAAUCCUAAGAGCAAUAAAGUUGCAACAUCCCUAAACCAAGUCUAAUAGUUUCGGGUAUAUUUUUGGGUUCCAAGUGUGAAACUAGGAAUUUAUAGAGUUUCUAAUAAUUUUAAUCUACUAUAGGAGGUUAAUUUUAUCUAAAAUCGAUUCAACAAUAAUCCAAAAAAUUAAAAAAAUAUUUUCAAAAAAUUAAUUUUAAAUAUUUUAAAUAAUUAUUAGUGAAAAUAAUCAAUUUGGGUUGAAAAAGAAUUUUAAAAUAAUUUUAUUGGGGGUAAUUUGAGUAAAAUUUAAAUAUUAAUUAAAUAGGAUUGAAUUGUAAAACGAGGGAAAAUUUAGAGUAUUUAUAUGAAAAAUAAGCCUUAAAAUUUGGAAUUUUGGAGGGAAAGGUUAAAUGGUAAAGUAAGGGAAAUGUAGGAGUGGCCAUUAGGCAAAUUUCCCAAUUUUUAAACUUCUGGUAGGUGGUUUCAUUUUUAAAACUAAUGUAUCUAGCCCACUUUUCACACAAAUUACAUCAAAUUGGAGAGAUUUAAAAUUCAUUUUCUUUGCAUGAUUUUAAAGAUCUAUCAUCAAAGAAUAGAUCCAAUCAAUUUCCAUCUCAAAAUACUCUUUCAAUUCACCCAAAAUUAUUCUCAAAAGUAGUCAAAAAUAUUUUGAAAUUUCUCAAGUUUCUUGAAUCAAGAUUUUCAAUCAACGAAUUUAGAGCGACUCAAAGGUAAUAUUCAAUCCUAAACUUAUUUUUAUGAUGAUUAGAAACAUUUUUACAUGAUUUGAGGGUAAAUUAAAAUAUUUUUAUCAAUGUUAUAUUUUUCCAAGAACACAUGGUUCUUCAAUGGUGGAUCUUGAAUUUUGAGAGGAAAUCCACAAAAUCAAUGGAUGUUUCAACUUAAAAUCAAUCUGUUAAAAGGUUUUUGAUCUUAUUUAUCAAGAUUAAACAUGAUUUGUAAGGUAAUCUAAAAUAAUCUAAAUUUCAUCAUCUUCAUGAACCGAUUUUUUAAAAUUUUGUGAAAUUGAUUUAAAGAUGAUAUUGAUGCUUAGUAUAAGUGUAUUUGGUCUAGUAUUGAUGAUUGAAAGUGUUUAGGAGGGCUAGAGAGAUUGAUUUUGUGAGGAAUCGAGUCUUGAUGUUACAAAUCCGAUAAGGUAUCUUUGUGAGAGGAUUUCAAUUAGUAUAGCUAAUUAAAAUUCGUGUUUAUUAUAGCAUUAGAAAGGUGGUAAUGUCUACUUUAUCUCUGUUGAAGCUCUGAAUCUUGAAGAGAACCGAGCUAACUGGAAUUGAAGCUUGGAUUUUCUUGGUUGAUCACUUGUUUAUGGUAGAACAAAUUGUGUGAUAAGUGUUUCAAAGAUCGAUUUGGUAAAUUGACCCUCAUUUGUGUUUAAUUAGUAGCUUAAUUGAUGAUUUCAAUUGAUUAACUAUAGUUGAAUGGCUGAUUUUGCAAGAUUGAUAUUAUAUGUACAAGAGUUGAAUUUUUAUUGAAUAAUGGUAAGUAAGCAUUUAGGUGAUUUUGUGAAAUUUAAUUAAGCUAAUUAUAUUGAUGAUUAGAGCAUGGUAACUGGAGUUUUUGAUCAUGAUAUAUUGGUGUUACAAUUGGUAAUUGAGCAUUGGAAAAUCGAAAAUGAAAUGCUUAAUUUAAUUGGAUGUUAAAUGACUAUGUUACAUGUUACACAUAAGCAUUUUGCCACAUUAAAUUGAACACAAUAAUGACUGAUUUAUAUGCAAUGUUUGAUUGAAUAUAUAGGCAACAUGCAUUGUGGAUCCAUUGGAUAUAGUUGGUAUGCCAUAGGAUUUGUGAGUACUCACCUUUAUUUGUGACAUUGUGAGCAUAUGGCUCUAGGUGGACUGAUUUGUUUGGAGUAGAUAAGAGAGUGUUGAGCAUGAGUCUCCACUCAUUGGGUUAUUUGAGGCACUACAAGGGAGUGUGUGCUUCGGCCCGCUCAACUCGGUAGACUGUAUUUGAUAUUUGUGGGAGUUCCUAGAUCUAUUUAUAUGAUGUAUGAUCACUCGAUUAAGCCAUGAGAAAUGUAUGUCAAUAUAUUUAUAUGUGAUUUUUGUUAUAUCAUUCGAUGUUUGUAAACCAUGAAUAAUUGAUUCUUGAUAUUGAUAAAGUAUAUGGAAAUUAUGGCUUAUAAUUGGUGAUUGAUUGGAUGUGAUUUAAGCAUGAUUUGGAUUUUGAUUUACUAGUCAUUUUAUUAACAUUCACUGAACUUUUUAAAGCUCACACCUUCACAAUUUGUGUAGAUAAUCGUGGGCUUGAGGGGCUGAGGAGCCGAACAAGAGAGUUCUAAGAGAUUUAGGAUUGGUAGAGACUUUAUUACAUGUUUUAGAGACUGUAAUCAGGCAUUGUGGAACUCUCGAGAAUUAGUUUUAUUUUGGUUGUAAUUGGACUUUGGACUUUGGACAUUUUAUUUUGGAUGGUUUUAUAAUAAUUUUGAGGCAUGUUUGAGUUUAAUUAUUGAAUGAUGUACGGUGUAUUGUUUCUUGAUAACACGGUUUAUGAGGCAUAAAACUCGUACUAACAAUUGUUUAAAUGAAGCUUCCAUGGAGUGGUUUACUAGCGACUAAGGUACGUCACUUGUUUGAUUUAUUCGAUGUUUGUUAUGCAUGAAAUUGAUUACCUACUUCUAUAUAAUUUAGGCUUGAUUGAUGUCAAUAAACUCAAUCGAAGGUGUAUGUAUAUGUAUGUUAAUUAAUCGUAGUUAAAUUAGGUUUAAUUGGCUAUUAAAAUAUGCAAAAUUGGAUUUUAAAAUGAGUUUUUCGUUAAAAAAAUAGAUGCAGUAGUUUGCAUAAGGGCGUGUGGGUAAGUCACACGGGCAUAUGGAGAUUGGAGCUAUAUUUCCACACGGGCGUGUAUGAUCGGUCUAAAGUUUUUCACGACGCUAACACGGUUGUUUAAUGACACACAGUCCGAGGGACAUGGCCAUGUGGGUUUUGGGGAGGUUUAAAUUUUUGUCUCUUUAAAUGGUAUUCUAAUUUGUUCAAGUUACAAUUUAGUAACUAAUAAUAAAACUUGAAUUAAACAUAGUAAGUGAACUCAAAUUAAGCUGAAAUUUUUAGGCUUGCAUAAUUUGACAAAAACAAAGUCGGUAAACACUUAGAUCUAAAAUUAGGUUAGUUUUAUCAUAGGUGGUAAAAUGAUGAAAAUGCCCUUAGGUUAAAUUACCUAGGAAAAGUUUAAAAUUGGCUCACAAUUUGCUUCUGCAUUAUUAAAUAACUAAUAAUUAGAUAAGAUUGAGGUGUUAUAAGGUCGGUGAGGUGUUAUAAGGUCGGGGUCUGUCUUGGGUAGUCGUUAGCUAGAGACUCAUUUAGGUGGCUAAUGUAAUGCUUCGAAUUCAGGUUGGUUCUUCCCGGUCGAGUUUGGAGUCUUACAAAAGUCAUGUAAACAUCCAAAACAUCAUGAAAUCAAUCAGCUAAAAGUCUACCACAUUGUCUUAUUCCCACAGUUCAAAGAAUAAUAAUAUCACUUACACAAAAACUAAAGCCUAACUUGGAUCACUUCCUUGGUAUCUCUGCACCGCUCACACUGCAAAUGUUAAAUAUCUGCAAUGGUUUGAAAAGAUUAUGUGAGCUUAAACAAGCUUAGUGAAUAUCGGAAUAACCACAAAGCAUACACAAAAUCAAAGGUUAAGCAAGAGCAUAUUACCACACAUUCACAACUAUAUUUUAAUCGAGUCAAAAUUACGUGUUCAUGCUCAUUAAUUCAUAAAACUAGCAUAUACUCUCACAUACAAUUACCCUCAACUCAUAUAUAUAUUUAAUUCAUUUUACAAUAAUUCCUCAAAACAAAACAACAUAUUCAUGUUUUAGUAGCUCACAAGUCUAGUUUAUAUAUUCACAUGCAACACACAACAUUUUCAUGUAUUAAUCAGUCAAAGAUAGUUUGGCAACUUGGAAAUAUGAAACAUAAAAGUGUGCUCUAUCACCACACAUUGGAUACAUGGAUCUUCAUCACACCAAUGACUCUAACAUAUCUCAUAAGUUUAGGAUUUAGCUAACACUCUCCAGCAUACCAACAUAUCUUGGUCAAUAGAGCUUAGCUCACAUUCUUUUAUCUCUCCAAACUAUCCCAAGGCCUCAAUGCCCAAAUAAAAAAUGUAAGGGUGAGUACUCACAAUCCUAUGGCAUGCCAACUAUAUCCAAAAAUUUCAAGAGAUCACAAGGCCAAAAUAUCCACAAUUACACAAUUUUAAUUACUGAUUUAAUGCACAACAUCUCUAUUCAUAUUCAUCAAUUUACAUUACAAACUUGUACACAAUGCAUGAUUAAGGAAUUCAUAUUUAAUUGCACUUUAAGUGCCACAAUAAUGCUCAUUGAGUCAUCAUUUAUCAGACCUCACAUGUGUGUAUUAAAAUCAGUACAUCAUAUAUCUUAUACAAGUAUUCUCACAUAUUACCUAUCAUGAUCAUAUCACAUUCCACAAUUCAACACAUAUGUACUUACCGAAAUCCUGCUCACUUUCAUUGCAUAUUCACACUAUUAACACAUAAUUGUCACUGUCAUUUGGCAUGUAUAUCAUGCCUACAACAUAACACAAUUCACAAUAGUCAUCACAUACAACUCAUGUAACAAUAUCGCAUCAUAAUACUCAAUCCACAAUUAUUCACAUAAUCACACAUUUUUUCAUAAUAAAUCAAGGGGAAUAGAAAGCUUACACUUGAAAAUUAGGAUAACGAUGUAGGCUAUUCCUAAGCUCCCAAUUAACACUAUGAAACGUGUCUACUAGCAGUGAUUCCAAGCAUUUACAGUUCACACUUUCACCUAGUUGCUGAAACCUCAAACUAGUUUUUCCUUGCUCAUCGAAGGUCGUAACGACUCCAAAGCUUCACACAUAAUAAUGACAGAAUAUACACAAUCAACUAACAACCAUAAAACACCUUAAACAAGCAAAAAUACAGGUUUAAGUCUAGUUUCUCUUGGAAUAGAAAUUCUCAAAUAACAAAUUUGAAACUCAAAUAUCUUAAUCUUUACUCAUUUUCAUUGCCUAUAACCAAUUCCAAUCAUCUAAUUAAACAUCUAAGAACAAUUCCUAACCUUCAAAAUACACAAAAUUACUCAAAUUCAUGGUUCUAAAUUUUCGACGUAAAAUAGACAUUUUUCAUGAAAACCCAAUAAAACUUUAAAAUCUCUUAACAAAACUUUAGGGAAAGUUUAGAAACCUUAUAAUCAUGUCAAAACAAGAUGAAAAACACUUUGAAACAUCUUUUUUAUGCAAAAUCCAUAAUUUCACCAUUAACGACCCAAUUUUUUACUUUUAUUCAAAUAUUUCGAUUCAAUGGAUAAAAACUCAAUUUAAAAAGGUUAGAUAUCAUUAAAAACCAAUAGGAAAAUGAAAUUAUUACCUUAGUUGACGAAGAAUCGAGUGUUUUCUCAAAAAUUUGAAAAACCCAAAAGUUAAGGAAUAGAUAAAUCUAUGUUGUUUUUCGUGGUUAUUAUGGAGUUCUAAAGAGGUUUAAUGUUAUUAGGACGAAAGAAAUCAAAGGAAUGAAUGUUGGGAAUCAAAAUUAAAUGAAUGGGGUUUGGGAAGACAAUGGAUGGCAAAACAAAAAAGAAUGGGAAGAACUAAUGUGGGUUUUGUAAAGAUAAAUGAGGGAAAUUUGGUAUUUUUAAAGCUUUGGUAAAAUUGCUUUAAAACUACUCCCAAAUUAAAACCUUUUAAAAAUAGUCCUUAUUUUACAAUUGAAGGUCUUUUCAACAUUAUUUUCAAAAAUUGAUUUAAUUUUUCAAAAUCUAUGAUCGAAAAUAAUUCCGGGUUCCCACAAUUCAAAAUUUUUUUAACCUGCUCCAAGCCAAAAUUUUCACUUUACCCUCAAAACUUCUAGAUCCAAUUUCGAGGUGUGACACAAUUAAAUUAUAAUAAUUAUGACUAUUUGCAUAAUCAUGAUUCAGUUAGAGAUAGAUUCAAAGUUCAUACUAUUCGAAGUAUAUUAGACAAUAUUUUGUUUAAUUUCACAUAUUGGCAAACUGAUUUCCCACACAAAUAUACCCAAAUCCAUAUAUUAUUAAUUGAGGCCUUAUAUACAUGAUCAUUUUUCAUAGCAAAUUUCAAAAAAGGGGGUCAUUAUGACCUCAUGUACAUAGCCAUACUUAUUUUAUUAUACAUAUAAAUAUCACCACAUUUCAAGUUCUAUUUUUGAACAUGGUAAUUAUAUUAACAUAUUCAUCAUUUAAUUGGUCAUGGUGACACAUUAGCACAUUUUUCACGUUAAUAUCACAUUUCAUAAAUUUUCACAUUUACCCCAUCAUAUUUUUUAAUCAUUCCUUGGCAACCAAAAUUUUUAUGGCACAAUAUUAGUUAGUGUGGCACAUAUAACGGAGGCUUACCAAACCAUAAUUUUUAAAACACUAGAUUAUAAUACUUUUAGACCAUGAAACUCACAUAUAUUUAUUUCAUAAUCGAAUUCACAUUUAUUACACCAUUUUCAACAAUUUCCUAAACAUAUUAGUAUAGGAGAGUAUGAGUAUUUAAGGGUAUUUACCUCUUGGAUGCACAUAUACUCAAAACCGAGCUUCCAACAAUUGAAUUCAUCCUCAUACAAGCUUGAAAUUUCAUUUAUCAUCAUUUCCUCAUUUUUCCAUAUACAAAAAUAUAAAAAAAAAGCAUAAUAAGCUUUCCAAGUUUCUCAUAACAACCAACUCAACUAUCAAGCUAGGAGAGAUGGAAAACAUUAUUACCAACCUUAUUAAGCUUUCUCUCAUUAGCUUCAACUUUUUGUCUUGAGAAAUCAUGAAAGCCUUGCUGAAAAUAGAGACAUUGAAGGUGGAUUUUGAAUCAAACCACCAUACGGUAUUUUCUUUAAGUAUCUUGUAGGAUACUGUUGUUCCAGCUACAUUUCUCUUUUCGCUCUACUAGUAAUUUAAUUGGAGCUUGAACCCGAGUUUCGAUGAGGUUGAAUCUACUUUUUUUUGUUCUACCUUCCUUAUUUAUUUUAUCUAAUUCUUAUCUAAUUUGAAAAAAAAAACUAAAAAAAGGGGGGGCAAUAGAGUAGUCACAGAUAUUUGAUUGCAUCUCGAUCUAAUCUUUUUUGCCCCGUCCCGCGGCAAUAACUAGAAUUAAAAAAAGGGAAUGUUAACGCAUCCGGGAAGAAACUAUUGAUCUCUAUCAAUAAACCCGCUAAAGAACCGAACCAGAGAGUACAUAAUAUCGGUGCUACAGAAAGAUAUGUUUUUAGAUCUCGCAUUUAAAAUCUUCCUUCUUUAUCGUAUUACAUUAUGGUAAUACAUAUAUAAUCGCAUGUAUGUGUGGUUAAAGACCACUUGGAUUUUUCUAUUUAUACCCGGAAUUCCUAAUUCAAAAUUCAAAUUUAAAUGUACAAUGAUUUGAUAGAUAAGAUUUUCCCUUUCUUAAAACAUCAAAACAAAAUAGGUCCCUUUCCGCCUGAGAAUUCCCGCUAAAAAUAUUCAUUUAUUAUUCAUUAUAUGGUUGUUAUAUGAUAUGAGACCAAAAAGAGGAAAUGGAAAGAUCCGUUNNNNNNNNNNNNNNNNNNNNNNNNNNNNNNNNNNNNNNNNNNNNNNNNNNNNNNNNNNNNNNNNNNNNNNNNNNNNNNNNNNNNNNNNNNNNNNNNNNNNNNNNNNNNNNNNNNNNNNNNNNNNNNNNNNNNNNNNNNNNNNNNNNNNNNNNNNNNNNNNNNNNNNNNNNNNNNNNNNNNNNNNNNNNNNNNNNNNNNNNNNNNNNNNNNNNNNNNNNNNNNNNNNNNNNNNNNNNNNNNNNNNNNNNNNNNNNNNNNNNNNNNNNNNNNNNNNNNNNNNNNNNNNNNNNNNNNNNNNNNNNNNNNNNNNNNNNNNNNNNNNNNNNNNNNNNNNNNNNNNNNNNNNNNNNNNNNNNNNNNNNNNNNNNNNNNNNNNNNNNNNNNNNNNNNNNNNNNNNNNNNNNNNNNNNNNNNNNNNNNNNNNNNNNNNNNNNNNNNNNNNNNNNNNNNNNNNNNNNNNNNNNAGAAAAACUUCAAUCAUUUCAAUUUAUUUGAAAGGAGAAAAAGAAAGGUAAUAUUUAUGCCUAAAUAUUAAUUUCUAUUGCCCAUGAAUAUUAAUACCUAAUAAUUGAUAAUUAACACGGUAAGGAGCUAUAGAAUAUAUGGAAUAGGACAGAAAGCUUUUUUUAUGAAUUGUUCAUUCAUUGAAUUAAUUUUCAAAUAAGUCGUAUCUUACUCAAACCAAUAAAUAAAGCUGGCGUUAUAGUUAAAGCCUCUAGUAAAAACCGAAAUAACUAGUUAUGAAAAUAAAUCAUACUACUUCUGUUCCUGGAGUUUCCACGCUUGAAAAAGAAAAUCUGGGGCGUAUUUCUCAAAUCAUCAGUCCGGUACUGGAUGUAGCCUUUCCCCCAGGCAAAAUGCCUAAUAUUUACAAUGCCCUAGUAGUUAAGGGUCAAGAUAUCGCCGGUCAACAAAUUAAUGCAACUUGUGAGGUACAGAAUUAUUAGGAAAUAAUCAAGUUAGAGUUGUAGCUAUGAGUGCUACAGAUGAUCUAAUGAGAGGAAUAGAAGUGAUUGACACGAGAGCUGCUCUAAGUGUUCCAGUCGGUUGAGCGACCCUAGGAUGAAUUUUUAACGUGCUUGGGGAGCCCAUUGACAAUUUAGGUCCUGUAGAUACUUGCACAACAUCCCCUAAUCAUAAAUCCACGCUCGCUUUUAUACAAUUAGAUACAAAAUUAUCUAUUUUUGAAACAGGAAUUAAAGUAGUCGAUCUUUUAGCUCCUUAUCACUGUGGAGGAAAAAUCAGACUAUUUGGGGGGCUGGGGUAGGUAAAACAGUACUCAUUAUGGAAUUGAUCAACAACAUUGCCAAAGUUCAUAGGGGCGUAUCUGUAUUUGGCGGAGUAGGUGAACGGACUCGUGAAGGAAAUGAUCUUUACAUGGAAAUGAAAGAAUCUGGAGUAAUUAAUGAACAAAAUCUUACGAAAUCAAAAGUGGCUUUAGUUUACGGUCAGAUGAAUGAACCGUCAGGAGCUCGUAUGAGAGUUGGAUUGACUGCCCUAACUAUGGUGGAACAUUUCUGAGAUGCUAAUGAACAAGACAUACUUCUAUUUAUGGACAAUAUCUUCCGUUUUGUCCAAGCGGGAUCCGAAGUAUCUGCCUUAUUGGGUUACUAUACCUGUUGUCAUAGCAUUAUAAAGAGUAUUGUUACUUUUGUUCCCAUCGGGAUAAAUCUGGCCCCUUCCCCUGUUGCCACCUACGUAUAUGGGAUAUUUUAAGAAAUGAACCUCCUUAUUACUAGCAGGGUCUUGGGAAAGAAUAGGAAAAGUGAUUUCACUAUAUUUUUUACCAAGAACAGGACCUAUCACAAGAAUAUUUUUCUUAGUGGGGCGGUAGUUCUGAAAAGACAGAUUGUCUAUCUUUUCUUUCAUCUCGGGCGAAAUAUGAUCAGGCAGGGCUAACUCAAACCCCUCUGCUAAAAUAAGAACAGCACCCACAUUCAAAGCCCCUUUCUUACCAUUAGCAAGAACUUGUUUCAAUUGCAUAUCAUAAGGAAUUCUAACAACCGCUUCAAAUACAGUAUCAGGAAGUACCACUUGUGGAACCUCAAUAUCCACGAGUUUUUUCGCUAAAUGGCAAUUGGCACAUACAAUACUCCCAGUUGCUUCUCGUGGAUUUUUAUACCCUUGCUACGCAAAAAUGGGAUAUGCAUUUGAAAUAGAUGCCCCGAUUAUUAUAUAGAUCAUGAGCGAUAUGGAAAUGGAUCAAGUAAUCUUUUCCUUUAUCCAAGAAAAAGUAUUUCUAGUUUGCAUGGUCCAAUCAUUGAUCCUGAAACUGCCUCGGGUUUAAGGGGAUAGCCCGGUAAAUAGACAUCCACGGGAAUUAGCUUAUCGACCCCCCGAACAGUACUAUAAGAAUCAAUACUGAACAUCCCUCCUGUAAUUGUACACGUGCUCAUAGCCAUAACAUAUUUAGGUUCGGGCAUUUGUUCAUAUAAUCUCACUAAAGAGGGCGCCAUUUUCAUUGUUACUAUUCCAGCUGUUAAAAUUAGGUCUGCCUGUCUAGGACUCGAUCUUGGUACCAUCCCAUAACGAUCAAAGUCGAAGCGUAAGCCUAUUAAUGAAGCAAAUUCAAUAAAGCAACAACUGGUACCAUAAAGAAGUGGCCAUAAACUGGAGAGUCUUGACCAAUUUGAAAGAUCAUUUAAUGUAGUUGAAAUAACUGAAUUUUGGGUUGUUCGAUCAAGUAAGGGAAAUUCAAUGGAAUUCAUACUCAAUGUUAUUAUUAUUUUUAAUUUUUUCUUUAUUUUUAUUAUCUGAAUAUUCAGGAACUAAAACCAUUCCAAUGCUUCUUUUCGCCAUGCAUAAACUGAACCAACAAUUAGGAUAAGCACGAAAAUGGAAGCUUCUAUGAAUACGGGUACCCCUAAUACAUCAAAACUCAUUUCCCAUGGAUAAAGAAAAACUAUGAAAUGAAAUUGAAACAAGGCUAAUGAGAUAGAAAUAAGGAAUCAUAAAUAGAGUUCGGGUUCGAAUUCAAUAGAUAAUAUGGAUGGUGUUGCCUAUAAUGAUGGACAAAUGAAAGACUCUCCCAAAAUUUUUAUUUAUCCACUUCCUAUUUUGAAAAUAGGUUGGUUGAACUUAAAAAUUCCUUCAUUGAAUAAGGAAACAAUCCAAUUGCAUGCACUUGAAUUGGAUGGGACCAACGAAAUCGAGUGCUAACCCCCAUUUCUUAUUGAAUUAACCGAUCAACCUCCU